rnacentral:rRNA from 1 species
ACGCUCGACACCUACGAGGCAGCAGUGGGGAAUAUUGCACAAUGGGGGAAACCCUGAUGCAGCGACGCCGCGUGAAGGAUGAAGUAUUUCGGUAUGUAAACUUCUAUCAGCAGGGAAGAAAAUGACGGUACCUGACUAAGAAGCCCCGGCUAACUACGUGUCAGCAGCCGCGGUAAUCUGAGCGGGCUGGCAAGGC